UACGUAGGGGGCAAGCGUUGUCCGGAAUCAUUGGGCGUAAAGCGCGUGUAGGCGGCUCGGUAAGUCUGCUGUGAAAGUCCAGGGCUCAACCCUGGGAUGCCGGUGGAUACUGUCGAGCUCGAGUCCGGAAGAGGCGAGUGGAAUUCCUGGUGUAGCGGUGAAAUGCGCAGAUAUCAGGAGGAACACCAAUGGCGAAGGCAGCUCGCUGGGACGUGACUGACGCUGAGGCACGAAAGCGUGGGGAUCAAACAGG
rnacentral:rRNA from 1 species